UUCUAUGACUUCGGCUCAGGAGGCAGCCAGCUAUUGUUGCAGGGUCUCAUUGGUUCUCCUGGCCCUUUCCAUUUCUUCUUCAAGACGGCGGAUGUGGACUGUGUUGACACCAGAGUUGGCAUCAAUCUCCAUGACUCGGUCGAUGGCUGCUCGACCUUGUUCAACAUUACGAGCUAUUCUACGGAUAAUGACGGGUAGAGCUCGAUCCGAAGAGCCACCUUCGUUGAGAUUGUAAAAGCUUCGGUCCCCAAAGUAAGGUAAGGGUUGACCCUGUCCGUUGCUCCAGCGAUUCAAGUUGGUUGCGCACAAGGGUGUGGGACCUGGGAAAGCUAGUCGGGGAUUGUUGUUUGGGGCUUGACCUACUGGCGGUAGGUUGUUUACUUCAGGCUCAGAGUCAGAUCCAUCCGAAAAGCCCUAUGCGAGGUGAUCAUCUAAAGGGAUUGGAUGCUCAUAUUCGGGCUCUUCUUCAGGCCAUCCAACAUUGCCUUCAUUUGGGAAGUACGGGUCGCCAUGAUGGAAUCCAGCCAUUUAAAUCUACGCAAGAAUAGAGGUAUAAGAAUCUAGUAUAUAAGUAGCUUGUAGUAGCACAAAAUACCCCUACAGUAUUUUAAGUUUAGGUUCUACUGUUCUCCUUAUGGUAUUGUUGGUAAGUUUUUAGACUUGUUAACAUAUCACAACCAUUCUAGGGCAUAUGAUAAUCACUCCUCGGACCAGCAUAGUUGAUCAGGCUAUGCCAUUCCAAGGACUGACCAUACAUCCCCGAGCUUACAUGUGAUAUUUAACAAUCAUAAUACUUUUGUUCUUGUCAUUGUGACACUGAUUUUAGUAUGAAUGCAGACUUGUAUACUUAAUUAAAUAUUUUAGUAUUUAAAGUAUAGACUCUUGGUCAGAGUGUUAUAAUCCUAAAUGGGUUUAUAGUUAGUAUAUNAGAGUCAGAUCAUCCGAAAAGCCCUAUGCGAGGUGAUCAUCUAAAGGGAUUGGAUGCUCAUAUUCGGGCUCUUCUUCAGGCCAUCCAACAUUGCCUUCAUUUGGGAAGUACGGGUCGCCAUGAUGGAAUCCAGCCAUUUAAAUCUACGCGAGAAGAGAGGUAUAAGAAUCUAGUAUAUAAAUAGCUUGUAGUAGCACAAAAUACCCCUACAGUAUUUUAAGUUUAGGUUCUACUGUUCUCCUUAUGGUAUUGUUGGUAAGUUUUUAGACUUAUUAACAUAUCACAACCAUUCUAGGGCAUAUGCUAAUCACUCCUCGGACCAGCAUAGUUGAUCAGGCUAUGCCAUUCCAAGGACUGACCAUACAUCCCCGAGCUUACAUGUGAUAUUUAACAAUCAUAAUACUUUUGUUCUUGUCAUUAUGACACUGAUUUUAGUAUGAAUGCAGACUUGUAUACUUAAUUAAAUAUUUUAGUAUUUAAAGUAUAGACUCUUGGUCAGAGUGUUAUAAUCCUAAAUGGGUUUAUAGUUA
rnacentral:lncRNA from 1 species